rnacentral:rRNA from 1 species
UACGGAGGGGGCCAGCGUUGUUCGGAAUCAUUGGGCGUAAAGGGCGCGUAGGCGGCCGACCAAGUCGGAGGUGAAAUCCCUCGGCUCAACUGAGGAACUGCCGUCCAAACUGCUUCGCUUGAGACCGGGAGAGGUGAGUGGAAUUCCCAGUGUAGCGGUGAAAUGCGUAGAUAUUGGGAGGAACACCAGUGGCGAAGGCGGCUCACUGGACCGGUACUGACGCUGAUGCGCGAAAGCGUGGGGAGCAAACGGG